rfam:Camelus ferus unplaced genomic scaffold scaffold216, whole genome shotgun sequence.
GAGGGUAUAGUUCAAGUGGUGGAGCGCAUGCUUAGCAUGCACAAGGUCCUGGGUUUAAUUCCCAGUACCUCCU